CAUCUACUAUGCGGCCAGACUUAAUAACCAUUGAUAGUGUAAGAGUCAGACCCAGAGAACGUGAUCUGUGUGCCCAGGGAAAUCGCAUUCUCGAAUAUGAGAAAGGAAAGCAUCGUGGCAUGAGUCUGGAGGGCUUUCCUGUGAGAGCCAUGAAUGAGGGUCAUGGCAUUUCUGUUGAUGGCUUGGUCUCUUUUCUUUCAUUUCCUGAUCGUAGCUGAGUGCUGGAUGGUGGGAUUGCUGAGGGGCUGGGUUCUGGGUGUGUGGGGUGUUGAGCUAUUCAGGCGUUGUAGGGUGUAGCGGUAACACAGGUUAUGUGCAUGACGAAAUCAGGGGAAACCUAGGGGCAAAGAAGAUCAGGGUAGGUCAUGUCUUGGUCCCGAUCACCUGAGUAUUGUAGAGAAGUGACCUAGUUGUUGGGGACUUCUCCUGUGGGUGACCUAGCGACAGUUGCCCUUUUGAAGCACUUGGAGCGCUGGAUAUUGUUGAACAAUCCUGGCAGCACCAGGAGGAAGUCUGGAUGAUUCAGGAAGUCAUUGUAAGGGGUCUUAGGAUACCAAGCUCUGAUCCAUUUGAGAAGGCCUGCGGGAAAGUCAGCUUCACCCUCAGUGGCCUCCUAGAGUCUUGAUUGAAGUUUUGUUCUGCUUUUUCUUUUUUCUUUUUUUUUUUUUUUUUUUUUUNCCUCUCAUCCUCUCAUGCUAUUAGCUUGUUAGCUGUCCUUUCUUGCUGUGGCUGGAAAACUAAGCAAGCAAGCAAGCUGUGGUUCUGUCAUUAGGCACUUAGUUCCUCCUAGGCAUGGAACUCAUCUGAACGUUCCUAGAGCAGAAUUUUCUAAGUGUUAUAAUAAAAUAAUAUUCGUUUAUAACAAGGAAAAGGUGACCACUGAAGAAAAUGGCUCACCUUCCAGUCUUUCUUUUCCUACAGUAGAAAUACUGUUUACUGCAUGGCGAAAGGCAAGCAUGCAAUCAAAUAAGUGAAGGUCUUUGCAAAAGCAACCUCCCAGAUAUGGGGUAGGAUCCAGGCUCUUUGAGCUUAUCACCCCUGCGGGGUCUGCAGUAUUGUAUAAUGAGAAAAUGAGUUUAGAAUCAUGGUGCUGAGCCCUUGGAAAUACCUAAUCAUCGUAUGAAAGUUACUUUCUUUUUGGUCUUUUUUUGCCAUUUCUAAGGCCGGUUCCCAGGCUAGGGGUUGAAUCGGAGCUAUAGCCCUGGCCUACGCCAGAGCCAUAGCAACGUGGGAUCCAAGCCGUGUCUGCGACCUCUACCACAGCUCACGGCAAUGCCAGAUCAUUAACCCACUGAGCAAGGCCAGGGAUCGAACCUGCAACCUUAUGGUUGCUGGUCGGAUUCGUUAACCACUGCGCCACGACGAGAACUCCCAUAUGAAAAGAAGAAUGGCAUCUGAGGCAGCAUGGGAUAAAUUAUCCAUAGAGGAAGGCACGUAGUUUAGCAAAAAAGAAAAUAAAUGUGGCCACAUGUUAACACCCAGUGAAUCUAGAUGAGGGGUAUGUGGAGAGUCACUGCACUGGGCCUUCCAUUCCUUUGUCAGUUUGAACAUUUACAAAAUGGAAAGUUAGAAGGGGAAAAAAAAGUAAAAUUCUCAUCCUUUUGUCCAGUCCUUUAACUGUCUUCAAAGACAGAAGUCAUCAUGAAUGAAAUAUAGUGAGAGAUCAGGUCUCAUAAGCCUCCUCUUCCCUUAUUCCACUCCAUUCCCGUGAACAGCCAAGCCUCAAAGCCACUGGUAGAAUAUUUUAUUAUCAUCAUUAUUAUUUUGUUUUUAGGGUGGCACGUGCGGCAUAUGGAGGUUCCCAGGCUAGGGGUCCAAUUGGAGCUACAGCUGCUGGUCUACACCACAGCCACAGCAACACAGGAUCUGAGCUGCAUUGGCGACCUACAGCACAGCUCACAGCAAUGCGGGAUCCUCAACCUGCUGAGUGAGGCCGGGGAUCGAACCCGAAUCCUCAUGGAUACCAGUCGGAUUCAUUACCUACCCCUGAGCCACAACAGGAACUCCCACCAGAAUGCAAAAAAAUCUCUAUGGCUCUGUUGAGUCAAUUUUUUGGUUUGCUGGGAAAGAGGUCCAUGUGGUGUUACUGCCCCCAUGGUGACGCCUUUGUGAGUAUCAAGUGUCUCAAACUGCAGGGUUUUGUAUUUUGGAGAGAAAACCACCAUGUGUGAGAGAGAAUGUGUGCAGGCGGGAGCAGCUUGUCUCACCAGGGCUUCCCCACUCACAUGUUUGGGGAAAACGCCUCCAAGAGUUAAGGGAGGGGCCCCAGGAGUCUCUUGGGUUUGCUGUGGAGACCCAGCUUAACAUUUUGAUUUUCAACCUGCACAUGCAGAGACCUCUUCUAGACCAAGUGCACCUGUAUCAGAUCUUCAUUUAGAGUCCACGUUUUCCUGAGCCCGAAACAUGUGCUGUGAUGUGGACACUUUGCACUUUUGCACUUCUGCUCCAAGGAGCCCUACACUUACUCAGGGGUGAGGCUUGUUGUUGGUGCACACAGCAGAAAUCAUGGAUGGCCAACAUUUCUGCUGAAAAAUCUCUUAAGUGGCCCCCAAUGUACACCAGGUGAGGCACCUGGAAACCGAGCCAACAGGGAGCACAGAUUCAUGGUCCCGUCCACAGUCACUCUGGGGCCUGAGCCCUUUGAGGUGCCAAUGGGCAGGACCACUGCAGCCAUGUGGUUAAGAGCCCUCUGCAAUUGGAUUGCCUGGGUUUAAAUCCUGGCCCCACCACUUCCUAGCUGUACAUCCAUGGACAAUUUAUUUGACCUCUGUGUCUUUUUUUCUCAUCUGUGGAAUGGGAAUCAUACCUACCUAAUAGGUUAUUUGAAAGAUUAAAUUAUAGGAAGUGCUUGCAACAGGGCUGGCAUGUAAUUAGUUUCAUGUCAGUAUUUACUACUAGUGUUUCUUCUCUCACAUGUUUAUAUUUGCAUUCCCGUAUGUUAAAUGCACUUAAAAUGCAAUUCCACUGUAAAGGCUAGAGUGUGUGCAUUAGCAGUGUCAGCAGUUUAAAAAGAAAACAUUUGGAGUUCCCGCUGUGGCACAGUGGGUUAAGGAUCUGGAGUUGCUGCAGCCGUGGCUUAGGUGGCAGAUGUGGCCCAAAUUUACCCCAGGCCUGAGAACUUCCAUAUGCCUCAGGGUGGCUGAAAAAGAGAAAGAAAAAGAAAGACAGACAGACAGACAUUUGAUCUCUUCUUCCUCUGGACAGGAAGCAUCCAUGCUGUGCCAUUCACGUAUUCCUUGCAGUUGAGUCAGGUCACCCUAGGUGUGGGGAGGCCAUUUCUGACCCUCUUUAUCAUCGUGUAGUAACACGAUGAUAAUAAAAACGGAAGAUGGAGUUAGGAAGGAAACCUUUGUGAGCUGUCAGUGGUGAUGGCUGGCUGACUGGUUGGGUGCUGCUCUGAGGAAGCGCUCAGCUCAGGAGGUGACCUCUGCCCCUCUUCCUGUGGCUCUUGCUCUUGCCCAGUGAAGUGAACUGACCAGUGUCAUCUUCCUAAGUACCACAAAGCCGAUAGGAGAAGGAGAUGCUAGCUGUGUGGUCUCUCUCUUUGACUCCCACCUAAGAAAGUGUCCUGGGGCCUCUGCCUUAAAUCAAGGGACAGGAAUGUCGAGAGUGAAACCCAUCAGGAAUGAAUCUUCCAGAGGCAGGAAAUGGAAGCAAAGGUGUCUUAUCAGGUGCUGAUCUUAACCCUCCCAGAGAAGCACCAUCAACCCAAGAUACAGAUCUAGAGAUUAGGUUCUAUUUUCAUCUGGAAGCUUGACCGCUCCAGACCCCUGAGUAGCUCAGAACCCCCUGGUGAAUCUAUAAUGCCUCUGGGUCAUAAACCAAACUGCCAGGAAUGGCUCAGCUCUCCUUCUGACUGGGGCUUCCAGGACAGGAAGGGUUCAAGGGGUCCCUGUGGCAGGGUUGGAGGCUCCUUAGUGUUGGCUGGUUGCAUUGGCUUUGCUUGCUGCCCCAUGGUUUUGCAAGGACACAAACACUGGCACCAGUUGGUGACAGAAAUAGCAGGUAGACCAACAGUGAUUUCAGGCCUUGAUAACCUUUCUGGCUGUAGCUUGAGUCUCUCUGUGGCUUGAGGAACCAGCAGGCCUUCUCAUGCCAGAGACUUUUAUGCAAGAAUUCCUGCUGUCGAGUUUCCCCAGUAGACUGUCCCUUGAUGGAUUUGAAUCAAUUUGGUCAUGUGUUUCAGAUAGGAAGGGAAGGGCUUAAUUUUAGUUAAGAAGCCAGGGAGAGAUUAAAAUCCUGUCUGUCAUCUGAGAAUUGUUAAAUUAAUCAUAGGACUUGGAUAUGGUGAUAUAUAUCCAGCCUUUAAAGAAUACCUUUUUUUUUUAACGUAAAACUGCAUAUGUUUAUAAAAUUUGGAGUGCAAUGGCAUCACACAAAAGACACUGCUCUUUUGUAUGUUUUUGUUAUUGUGGUAAAACAUACAUAAAAUUCACCAUUUUAAACAUUUUCAGGUGUAGCGUCUGGAGCAUUAGGUACACUCACAAUGAUGUGUGGCCAUUAUUAGCAUCCAUUAAAGUAUAUGUUUUAGGGAGUUCCUGCUGUGGCACAGUGGGUUAAGAAUCUGACUGCAGGGAGUUCCCGUUGUGGCUCAGUGGGUUAUGAACCCAAGUAGUAUCCCUGGCCUUGCUCAGUGGGUUCAGAUCUGGCGUUGCCAUGAGCUGAGGUAGAGGUCUCAGAGGCAGCUCAGAUCUGGCAUUGCUUGUGGCUGUGAUAUGUAGGCUGGCAACUGCAGCUCCCAUUUGACCACUAGCCUGGGAACUUCCAUGUGCCAUGGGUGCAGCC
rnacentral:lncRNA from 1 species